rnacentral:rRNA from 1 species
GACAGAGGGUGCAAACGUUUGUUCGGAAUUACUGGGCGUAAAGCGUGCGUAGGUGGUUCGUUAAGUCUGAUGUGAAAGCCCUGGGCUCAACCUGGGAAUGGCAUUGGAAACUGGCGACCUAGAGUGCGGUAGAGGGUAGUGGAAUUCCCGGUGUAGCAGUGAAAUGCGUAGAGAUCGGGAGGAACAUCCGUGGCGAAGGCGACUACCUGGACCAGCACUGACACUGAGGCACGAAAGCGUGGGGAGCAAACAGG